rnacentral:lncRNA from 1 species
CAGACUGGCUAGUGUCCUUCUUUCUCACCUCGGUUGACUGACGAGGUAGAGGCUCAAUUGAUACCUCUCGAAGAGUAUUGUUUCUCUCCGAACUAGCUGGAGAAGGGGUGGUAGAAGUCCGAGACGGCAUUCGGACAGGAAGAGGAUCUACAGCUUUGGCCUUUUUUGGUGCAGGAUCGCUGUCAGAUGGCUUUGGUUGGUCCUUUCUUUUCCUCCCCUCCAGUCUAUUUGGAUUAAACUUCAUUUUUGCAUCAAGAAAGUUAUGCAAUCAAGAAAAGAUAUAUGAGACAAAACAAAGAAAGUAAGAUAGGAGAAAAUACUUCGGUCUUAUCCCGAGAAGAGUACAGGCUAAUGCCAGCAUCAUACAAUGCCUGAUCAAUAACCAGAAAAGAUAGCUUGGGCACUCUAGUGGUAAUCAAGAUUGAAUAAGCCAUCUUAUCUCCAGAAAGAAUUUUAUCAUUGGAAUUAUGCCUGAUAUCGAACACCUCCAGGAAGUCCUAAAAUUCCAUGGAAUAGGAGCUCGGAUAAAGAAGAAAUGGCCUUUCCAGCAAUGUAUUGAUGAAGGAAAACUAGAUCUGAAUUUAUAAUUUUUUUGAUGUGAGAAGUACCACCAACCCCGCUCACUCAGAUGUCUUUUCAAAAAGAUCAAAGACCUAAACAAAGAGAUUCUAAGUUCUAUAUGGAAGAAUUUAUAUAUAUUUAUGAACACUAUGAUUAUCCUGAUUGCAUUCGAAGUUAUCUGGGUAGGAUGGACCCUAUAGAAAUCGAAAAUGUUACUGAAAAAUAGUAUAAUAAAAAUUGCAGACCAGAUCAGAGGGCUUCAUCAUAUAAGGCAAUGCAACCCUCAGAGAGCUUAGAAACUCGAUCUUCCGGAUCCGACACCAACAUCUCAUACUCGUCAAGUGCAUCAUAUUUCUCUUUAAGAUUCAUGAGAUUUUCCUCAGAGGUAAUCUGUGAGACCACGCACGAGAGAUUCUGCACUAUGGUCUGAACUCCCUUCAUCUACAGGACCAAUAUCAAGGUUCCCCCAGAGUGAACUUUCUACCUCGAUAGCCAAUAAGAGGUAAGUCGACCUAAUCUGGAGGUCAUCUACAAUCUUCUUCCCUUUUCUCUCUAG